GACGUAGGGCGCGAGCGUUGUCCGGAUUUAUUGGGCGUAAAGAGCUCGUAGGUGGUUUGUCGCGUUGUUCGUGAAAACUCACAGCUUAACUGUGGGCGUGCGGGCGAUACGGGCAGACUGGAGUACUGCAGGGGAGACUGGAAUUCCUGGUGUAGCGGUGGAAUGCGCAGAUAUCAGGAGGAACACCGGUGGCGAAGGCGGCAUCCUGGACCGACAUUGACGCUGAUGAGCGAAAGCUAGGGGAGCAAACGGG
rnacentral:rRNA from 1 species